UGGGGAAUAUUGCACAAUGGGGGGAACCCUGAUGCAGCGACGCCGCGUGAGCGAUGAAGUACCUCGGUAUGUAAAGCUCUAUCAGCAGGGAAGAAAAUGGACGGUACCUGACUAAGAAGCCCCGGCUAAAUACGUGCCAGCAGCCGCGGUAAUACGUAUGGGGCAAGCGUUAUCCGGAUUUACUGGGUGUAAAGGGAGCGCAGGCGGCGCGCCAAGUCUGAUGUGAAAUACCGGGGCCCAACCCCGGGGCUGCAUUGGAAACUGGCGUGCUGGAGUGUCGGAGGGGCAGGCGGAAUUCCUAGUGUAGCGGUGAAAUGCGUAGAUAUUAGGAGGAACACCGGUGGCGAAGGCGGCCUGCUGGACGACGACUGACGCUGAGGCUCGAAAGCGUGGGGAGCAAACAGG
rnacentral:rRNA from 1 species